rnacentral:tRNA from 1 species
GGUUGUGGCUUAGCGGUAGAGCGCUUGCCUCGCACACGCGAGACUCUCAGUUUGAUCCUCAGCACCA